rnacentral:rRNA from 1 species
UACGGGGGGGGCAAGCGUUGUUCGGAAUUACUGGGCGUAAAGGGCUCGUAGGCGGCCAACUAAGUCGGAUGUGAAAUCCCCAGGCUUAACCUGGGAACUGCAUCCGAUACUGGAUGGCUUGAAUCCGGGAGAGGGAUGCAGAAUUCCAGGUGUAGCGGUGAAAUGCGUAGAUAUCUGGAGGAACACCGGUGGCGAAGGCGACGUCCUGGACCGGCAUUGACGCUGAGGCGCGAAAGCCAGGGGAGCAAACGGG